CAUCUAGUGGAGUUGGAGGUUUUUGGUGAUGUAAGAACCCACUUUUUGGUGAUGUAAAUUUUACUCGAGGCAUAAUUUGCUGAUGUAGUUUACAUUAUCUAAUAGAGAUGCUGACAUGAGUGUAAAUUAUGUUUACUGUAUGUAGCUCAUAGGUUUGCCCAAACUUUGUCAUCCAGUAAUAUAAACAGUAGAACAGAUACUUUGUAUACAGUAAUAUGUAGAAUAAUUAAGUGCCAAGUAUGACACAAACGAAGGCGGUGCUAACUGAUAUGAUAUCAGUGCUAAAGUGUGCCGUAUAAACGAUCUUGGAUAGAAUCAACCUUAAUGAGGAAAAAGGAGACCAGACCCAUUCCAUUCGUUAUGAAAGUCGAUUCACGAGAUUUUCCUACAAAUUUUCCGAAGAGCAAUAAUAGCACAGUUCUCCAAAGAGCAUACUACAUGCACGGCUCAUGGGAAAAACACUAAAACAGAGUAGCACUCGCUACAUACAGAAGCACAAGCCAAGGUGGCCUCACUUGCUCAACCCAUGGCAUGGCAGUAGAACUGAUGGAGCUCGAUAUCCGUCGUCUUGGCGAUGACACCAUCCCUUCUUGCUGCACUUUUCAAAUCGAACUCCCUUGGCCUUGUGAA
rnacentral:lncRNA from 1 species